AUUGAACGCUGGCGGCAUGCUUUACACAUGCAAGUCGAACGGUAACAGGCCUUCGGGUGCUGACGAGUGGCGAACGGGUGAGUAAUGCAUCGGAACGUGCCCAGAGGUGGGGGAUAACGCAGCGAAAGCUGUGCUAAUACCGCAUGUGAUCUGAGGAUGAAAGCGGGGGACCAGGCAGCAAUGUUUGGCCUCGCGCCUUUGGAGCGGCCGAUGUCAGAUUAGGUAGUUGGUGGGGUAAAGGCCUACCAAGCCGACGAUCUGUAGCUGGUCUGAGAGGACGACCAGCCACACUGGGACUGAGACACGGCCCAGACUCCUACGGGAGGCAGCAGUGGGGAAUUUUGGACAAUGGGCGCAAGCCUGAUCCAGCAAUGCCGCGUGCGGGAAGAAGGCCUUCGGGUUGUAAACCGCUUUUGUACGGAACGAAAAGGCUCUGGCUAAUACCUGGGGCUGACGACGGUACCGUAAGAAUAAGCACCGGCUAACUACGUG
rnacentral:rRNA from 1 species